GUACAUAUAGUAAAAUUAUUAUAUUUUCCUUCCAAGUAAAAGUUCUAGUGUUCUAGUAUGUGCU
rnacentral:tRNA from 1 species